GCAGCGGUAGUUCAGUUGGUUAGAAUACCGGCCUGUCACGCCGGGGGUCACGGGUUCGAGCCCCGUCCGCUGCG
rnacentral:tRNA from 1 species